UACGUAGGGUGCGAGCGUUAAUCGGAAUUACUGGGCGUAAAGCGUGCGCAGGCGGUCUGUUAAGACCGAUGUGAAAUCCCCGGGCUUAACCUGGGAACUGCAUUGGUGACUGGCAGGCUUUGAGUGUGGCAGAGGGAGGUAGAAUUCCACGUGUAGCAGUGAAAUGCGUAGAGAUGUGGAGGAAUACCGAUGGCGAAGGCAGCCUCAUGGGCCAACACUGACGCUCAUGCACGAAAGCGUGGGGAGCAAACAGG
rnacentral:rRNA from 1 species